UACAGAGGGUGCGAGCGUUGUUCGGAAUUACUGGGCGUAAAGCGCGCGCAGGCGGCUAUCCAAGUCAGUGGUGAAAGCCCGGAGCUCAACUCCGGAACUGCCAUUGAAACUGUUUAGCUUGAGUAUGAGAGAGGUGAGUGGAAUUCCCAGUGUAGAGGUGAAAUUCGUAGAUAUUGGGAAGAACACCGGUGGCGAAGGCGGCUCACUGGCUCAUUACUGACGCUCAGGCGCGACAGCGUGGGGAUCAAACAGG
rnacentral:rRNA from 1 species